AUCCAGCUGACGAGUCCCAAACAGUACGAAAUGAGAGUCGUGGAU
rnacentral:hammerhead_ribozyme from 1 species